ensembl:lncRNA
ACUUAAGGGUUAGCAGUGGAGGAAAAGGUAUCUUGCUUCUAACCUGAGGCCUUCUAAAGGGCUGAGCUUCAAAGCUUGGGCUCAUCCAUUCCUUUUCAUGGAAGCACAAGUGUGCUGCAGAAGAUGUCUCUCUCAGAAAACUUUGGCUGUGCUGGAAUAGAGGUGAUCUGUCACACAGCACCCUCUUUGAGGGCUAAGGAUGGUUAACAAGAGAAGAUCCACCCAGUACAGCAGGGCAAGGUGAUGUUUGCCAACAGGCUUCCCAGCCUAGAGAAGUGAGGUUUAGACUCAAAAGUGAGGUACUCUGGCUGUAGUGAGAGGUAGAGGAUGAAGAGAGGUUGGAGCAACAAAAAGCUCAAGAAUAACAAAACUGGGUUUAAAGAGCCCAAAGAGUUUUCCACAAAUGUUUAUACAGUAAAAAGAAGGAAGAUCCAGAGCUCCACAUGUGGUUUCUGAGAUCUGAUACUGUUCAUAUAACUGAAAUGUGGUGGGAUGUCUUGUGCAAAUGCUUGGUUAUGGUGGAACAAAACCAAACGCCUUCUUUAAACAACAUAAGGAAGGCUUUACAUCACACAUCACAUUCUUGUUCCUUGGAGAUUUUAAUAUCCCUAACUUCUGCUGGAAGGACAACACAGAAGGACACAGGCAGUUAUGACGAUUUCUGGGAGAAGUUAGGGAGAACUUCAAGUACAGAGUGUGCCAGCCAGGGAUGAGUCAUGGCUGGGUCAUAUAUAAUUGUCUGAGAAUGUUGGAAAGUUUGGUGGAUAUCAGUCUUGUAGCUUUGGUAAAAAUAAGCCUGAUGAAAACAAGACAAUUUGGCCUAUUGAACCUGGAGAAGACAAGGCUCUAGGGAUUGUUAUCUAAUCUAUUAUCAGCCUUCCAGUUCCAGUGAGUAGCAUUUUGAGAAUAUAUGGUGGGAUGAUGGGAUACUAAGGUGAAACAAGAAAGGCUAAAGCUGGAGCAGAAGAUUGGACUACAGACCUGAGACUCUUUCUAAAUCAAAUGAUCCUGUAGUGAGGGACAAGGAGUAGGAGAUUACUGCAUGCCAGGAUUAAGACACAGAUUUUGUUUUCAGUGAAAUGACACAAGUAUUCCAACAUGUAUUAAUGUAUUUAUUAUUUUAUUAUUGAAUUUAUUCUGCAACUGAAUGCAGAUAUUCUUAAGGCUGUCCAAAGAGUCUGUUAACACAGACACAAAGUCUUUACAUGUAUUAGAUUUUUACUUUGAUAAAUGAGUUUUCAGGAUUAUCCAUUACUUCAGAAGUAGACAACUACCUCUCUACUGGCUUGCUUAGGAUUUGUCUGCUGAGUGUGCUGAGUUCCUGAUUUAGAUGAUCUGUAAGUCCAUGAAUGGAUAAUUUAGUUCAUGGUGAUUAAGAUCUAGGAUUUAAUCAAAACCUGAGCUAGGCUACUUGAUCUCAUUAUGUGGUGAAGACAGACGUUGUGUAGCAGUUAAAACCUUAGAGAGAAAAACUGAAAAUAAUAC